UACAGGGGGUGCAAACGUUGCUCGGAAUUAUUGGGCGUAAAGCGCGCGUAGGCGGCUACUUAAGUCGGAUGUGAAAGCCCUUGGCUCAACUGAGGAAGUGCACCCGAAACUGAGUGGCUUGAGUACUAAAGAGGGUCGCGGAAUUCCCGGUGUAGAGGUGAAAUUCGUAGAUAUCGGGAGGAACACCGGUGGCGAAGGCGGCGACCUGGGUCGAUACUGACGCUGAGGUGCGAAAGCGUGGGGAGGCAAACAGG
rnacentral:rRNA from 1 species